rnacentral:rRNA from 1 species
AAUCCAUAGGUUAAUGAGGCGAACCGGGGGAACUGAAACAUCUAAGUACCCCGAGGAAAAGAAAUCAACCGAGAUUCCCCCAGUAGCGGCGAGCGAACGGGGAGGAGCCCAGAGCCUGAAUCAGCAUGUGUGUUAGUGGAAGCGUCUGGAAAGGCGCGCGAUACAGGGUGACAGCCCCGUACACAAAAGCGCAUGUGCUGUGAGCUCGAUGAGUAGGGCGGGACACGUGGUAUCCUGUCUGAAUAUGGGGGGACCAUCCUCCAAGGCUAAAUACUCCUGACUGACCGAUAGUGAACCAGUACCGUGAGGGAAAGGCGAAAAGAACCCCGGCGAGGGGAGUGAAAAAGAACCUGAAACCGUGUACGUACAAGCAGUGGGAGCACCCUUUGGGUGUGACUGCGUACCUUUUGUAUAAUGGGUCAGCGACUUAUAUUCUGUAGCAAGGUUAACCGAAUAGGGGAGCCGGAGGGAAACCGAGUCUUAACCGGGCGUUAAGUUGCAGGGUAUAGACCCGAAACCCGGUGAUCUAGCCAUGGGCAGGUUGAAGGUUGGGUAACACUAACUGGAGGACCGAACCGACUAAUGUUGAAAAAUUAGCGGAUGACCUGUGGCUGGGGGUGAAAGGCCAAUCAAACCGGGAGAUAGCUGGUUCUCCCCGAAAGCUAUUUAGGUAGCGCCUCGUGAAUUCAUCUCCGGGGGUAGAGCACUGUUUCGGCUAGGGGGCCAUCCCGGCUUACCAACCCGAUGCAAACUGCGAAUACCGGAGAAUGUUAUCACGGGAGACACACGGCGGGUGCUAACGUCCGUCGUGAAGAGGGAAACAACCCAGACCGCCAGCUAAGGUCCCAAAGUCAUGGUUAAGUGGGAAACGAUGUGGGAAGGCCCAGACAGCCAGGAUGUUGGCUUAGAAGCAGCCAUCAUUUAAAGAAAGCGUAAUAGCUCACUGGUCGAGUCGGCCUGCGCGGAAGAUGUAACGGGGCUAAACCAUGCACCGAAGCUGCGGCAGCGACACUGUGUGUUGUUGGGUAGGGGAGCGUUCUGUAAGCCUGUGAAGGUGUGUCGUGAGGCAUGCUGGAGGUAUCAGAAGUGCGAAUGCUGACAUAAGUAACGAUAAAGCGGGUGAAAAGCCCGCUCGCCGGAAGACCAAGGGUUCCUGUCCAACGUUAAUCGGGGCAGGGUGAGUCGACCCCUAAGGCGAGGCCGAAAGGCGUAGUCGAUGGGAAACGGGUUAAUAUUCCCGUACUUGGUGUUACUGCGAAGGGGGGACGGAGAA